UACGGAGGGUGCAAGCGUUAUCCGGAUUCACUGGGUUUAAAGGGUGCGUAGGUGGGAAUGUAAGUCAGUGGUGAAAUCUCCGUGCUUAACAUGGAAACUGCCAUUGAUACUAUGUUUCUUGAAUCUUCCGGAGGUCAGCGGAAUAUGUCAUGUAGCGGUGAAAUGCUUAGAUAUGACAUAGAACACCAAUUGCGAAGGCAGCUGACUACAGGGCAUUGACACUGAGGCACGAAAGCGUGGGGAUCAAACAGG
rnacentral:rRNA from 1 species